rnacentral:rRNA from 1 species
AGAGUUUGAUCAUGGCUCAGAUUGAACGCUGGCGGCAGGCCUAACACAUGCAAGUCGAGCGGCAGCGCGGGGGCAACCCUGGCGGCGAGCGGCGAACGGGUGAGUAACACAUCGGAACGUACCCUGUCGUGGGGGAUAACUAACCGAAAGGUUAGCUAAUACCGCAUACGACCUGAGGGUGAAAGCGGGGGAUCGCAAGACCUCGCGCGAUAGGAGCGGCCGAUGUCGGAUUAGCUAGUUGGUGAGGUAAAGGCUCACCAAGGCGACGAUCCGUAGCGGGUCUGAGAGGACGGCCCGCCACACUGGAACUGAGACACGGUCCAGACUCCUACGGGAGGCAGCAGUGGGGAAUUUUGGACAAUGGGCGCAAGCCUGAUCCAGCCAUUCCGCGUGAGUGAAGAAGGCCUUCGGGUUGUAAAGCUCUUUCGGCAGGAACGAAACGGUCUCUCCUAAUACGGGAGGCUAAUGACGGUACCUGAAGAAGAAGCACCGGCUAACUACGUGCCAGCAGCCGCGGUAAUACGUAGGGUGCGAGCGUUAAUCGGAAUUACUGGGCGUAAAGCGUGCGCAGGCGGUUUUGUAAGACAGAUGUGAAAUCCCCGGGCUUAACCUGGGAACUGCGUUUGUGACUGCAAGACUUGAGUGCGGCAGAGGGG